AUGGACGCCGUUCACCAGGGCCAUUUCUCCUCCUUCAGUGGUCUGAACACUUCCAUUCUCACGCUUUUGCCAAAAAAGGAGGGAUCGAUGCAGCUAACUGAUUUUAGGCCUAUCAAUCUAAUUCAUGGAGUGGCCAAGAUCUUCUCAAAGGUUUUGGCAAAUUGCUUGACCCCGUUGCUUCCAGGAAUUGUAUCCAGAUCCCAGAGUGCUUUUGUCACAAGGAGAUCUAUACAUGAGAAUUUCAAGUUUGUUCGGAAUGCGGCCAGAGCCCUGCACCAGAGGAAGCACCCAUCUGUGCUUAUGAAAAUAGAUAUAUCAAAGGCUUUUGAUUCUUUGACCUGGGAAUUUCUCUUGGAGAUCUUGCAGGUCAGAGGUUUUGGAAACAAAUGGUGCUCCUGGAUAUGUAGUCUUCUGAUCUCAGCCUCCUCCUAG
rnacentral:rRNA from 1 species